UACGGAGGGUGCAAACGUUGCUCGGAAUCAUUGGGCGUAAAGCGCACGUAGGCGGCUCGUUAAGUCGGAUGUGAAAGCCCUCGGCUCAACCGAGGAAGUGCAUACGAAACUGGCGAGCUUGAAUAUGGAAGAGGGUCGCGGAAUUCCCGGUGUAGAGGUGAAAUUCGUAGAUAUCGGGAAGAACACCAGUGGCGAAGGCGCCUUGCCGGGCCAUCACUGACGCUCAGGGACGAAAGCGUGGGUAGCGAACGGG
rnacentral:rRNA from 1 species